ensembl:antisense
AGUUACAAUUCAAAUUCUUCCAUGUUAGCCCUGAUAAUUUAGUGAUGAAUUAAAUUUAGAAUUUAAUUCAGAAACUGGAAAUGCCUGAAUCACAAGGAUGGAGAUUUCAAGGAAUGCAAGGAUGAUUGAAUGAGCCCGCCAUCUUCCUUCUGAGCCCAGAAGAGGCUCCAGAGUGCUCUCCACACUGCAGGACCUCUGGAUCACCUCGGGAUCACAGGAGUCUGCCAAGUGUUUGAAGAUAAUGGUUGUGCCUCUCAUUAGUUUGCUGUCAGCUACUCUCUGAUGAAGUUGGUGGCGCUGUGGAGGAGGACCGCCGCCUCCUGGACGAGGACCGGGAGCGCUCAGCAUUGUAGGAGACAUGCUUGUCGUAGUUCUCCAUCUGUGUCUCAAUGAAGUCCCUUUGCUGCUGUCUGAUGGUCUGGCUGAUUAGCCCAGGGAGGGCAUGAAUGCUACCAAUCAAAGUCUCUAGUUUUGUUUCCAGGGUGACGAUCCUUUUCUCAAAGUCUUCACUCCUUUCAUUUAAGUCGGAAAUCAUGUCAUACAUGAUAUUCUGGGUCUGGAAAACAAGAAUGAGAAGAUAGAAACAGAGAAGGAAGAGGCUUAGUGACUUUUGCCUCAGAAGCGAACUGUCAACUCUUCAAGCUUCAGCACUGGCCUCUUGACAGGUGUGUCACCUAACAGAAGAGUUUAGGUCACAAAGCAAAUUCCAUGUAUCUACAUCCCGAGUAUCUACAUCCCACUUUAAUCCAUGUAUUUUUAAAGCUGAACUUUAAAUGCACGAUGACAGACUAGUUGUAAUUUACAAGACGAUGUAGUGGAAUGACCAAUGGUUUGAGGUAGAUUGAAGAUAGAUGGAAAUGUUUCAAUUUAAUAUUUAUGUGUGUUCAUGAUUCUUAUACAAGUUAGCAUAUCAAAUUCAUUUUUCAACAUGUGACAUUACAACAUGGCCAAUUUUUAUGGUAACAGAUUUAAGGAAGGAAAAAAAUAACAGUAAGAUUGACAGCGAGGUGCAAAAACAUAACAGAAGAGUAGAGGUUAAAUGUAGGAUCGAUGGACUUGAUCAGAUAACUUAGUAAUUUAAAGCAAUCAAUACACAUCUUCUGCUGCCUUAUGUUUCAAAUAUCAUAUCUCUUUUUAUUGACUCCAACCCAAAAUUUCAUAGAUUAGAUGUAAAAUAAUAUGAACCCUCAAUAAGAUCAAUAGUGGUGGUGGAUUCUAAGUUACUAGACCAGGGCUGGGGGUGAAACUCAGUGGUUAAGCAUUUGCCUAAUGGGCACUGAGCACUGGGUGUGUACUCUCUGCACCAUGCAAGCAAACAUUUACAGGCCACCUCAUUGGGAUGGUCUGAAGGACGCAUGUGCAAUGCUGUCUUUGUAGAGAAAACUGAAGUUAUCUCCAUCAGAGGCAGUCAUGAGUCCGAGUCUUGGUUACAGUUCUUGAAAUAGUUACUUGAGGGGAUUCCAAGGCUCAGCAGCUCAGAGUAAGGGAUAGAAAGGGGUGGCUGAGGGGAUGGAGAGAUAUGCUCCACCCAGUCUACUGCCACCUUUUCCAAAUCCCAGACCCCUUGGGCCGCUCGUACUUCAUGUCUUUCCUGUUCUCUUUCAGCCUCACAGCUGUUUAAAGAUGAUAAAGGAACCCACAGAAGCAGCCAUUCAGAACCCAGGCAUUUUCUUUCGUUUGAGCCACAGACACAGGGAGCGCUAAAUUUAGCUUUACUACAUUCUUGGGAAAACUGAACAAUAUCUGGUCAUUAGAAAGAUACUGAACUCUUACGGCAUGCUUUUGCUCGUGGUCGGAGUAAAGAUGGCAGUACAUAAACAACUCAAAUAUAUUUUACCUUGAAUAUACCUUUGAUGUAUAUGAGUAGUAUAUGAGUAGCCCUGGGGAUGCCAAAUGUCGAAUUUUCACAGACUACAUACUUGAAGAUUUAGCAAAAAGAGAAUAUGAUUUAUUAAAUAUAAAACAGGGUGCAUAUGACUUAGUGUUGCCUCUGCCAAAGCAAUUGUGCUAAAAGGCAGAACACAUACAUACUUCUAUUCUAGAAUCUCCUUUAGAACUCGCUGAACAGGAUGUAAUGUUUACACAGUUGAUAAAUAUUCAUAUUUCCAGAGUGGCUGUUACUUAUGGUGGAACAAUAAAAAAAAACAGAUAAAUCUUGUAAAUGUGACACAGAACUAGAAAACUAUUAAUGCACUUGUUAAAAAGAAGUAUGAUUGUUAAAUAAUGGAGAAUGCUAGAAAAAUGAGUGAGAGAAAGAGAGCGCACAGAUUUUAGCUUAGAAUAUAAUUUCUGGGAUUUUUAAACCAUUCGAUUUAUAUAGGUUUGGGCUUGCUUAAAAAUAUAUAAACUAGAAUAAGAAUU